rnacentral:rRNA from 1 species
AUUGAACGCUGGCGGCAUGCCUUACACAUGCAAGUCGAACGGUAACAGAUCUUCGGAUGCUGACGAGUGGCGAACGGGUGAGUAAUACAUCGGAACGUGCCUAGUAGUGGGGGAUAACUACUCGAAAGAGUGGCUAAUACCGCAUGAGAUCUACGGAUGAAAGCAGGGGGUCGCAAGACCUUGUGCUACUAGAGCGGCCGAUGGCAGAUUAGGUAGUUGGUGGGAUAAAAGCUUACCAAGCCGACGAUCUGUAGCUGGUCUGAGAGGACGAUCAGCCACACUGGGACUGAGACACGGCCCAGACUCCUACGGGAGGCAGCAGUGGGGAAUUUUGGACAAUGGGCGCAAGCCUGAUCCAGCAAUGCCGCGUGCAGGAUGAAGGCCUUCUGGUUGUAAACUGCUUUUGUACGGAACGAAAAGCCCUGGGUUAAUACCCUGGGGUCAUGACGGUACCGUAAGAAUAAGCACCGGCUAACUACGUGCCAGCAGCCGCGGUAAUAC